UACGUAGGGGGCAAGCGUUGUCCGGAAUCAUUGGGCGUAAAGAGCGCGUAGGCGGCCCUGUAAGUCCGCUGUGAAAGUCAAGGGCUCAACCCUUGAAUGCCGGUGGAUACUGCAGGGCUAGAGUCCGGAAGGAGGCGAGUGGAAUUCCUGGUGUAGCGGUGAAAUGCGCAGAUAUCGGGAGGAACACCAAUGGCGAAGGCAGCUUGCUGGGACGGUACGUGAC
rnacentral:rRNA from 1 species